rnacentral:rRNA from 1 species
AUUGAACGCUGGCGGCAUGCCUUACACAUGCAAGUCGAACGGCAGCACGGGAGCAAUCCUGGUGGCGAGUGGCGAACGGGUGAGUAAUAUAUCGGAACGUGCCCAGUCGUGGGGAUAACGUAGCGAAAGCUACGCUAAUACCGCAUACGAUCUAUGGAUGAAAGCGGGGGGAUCGCAAGACCUCGCGCGAUUGGAGCGGCCGAUAUCAGAUUAGGUAGUUGGUGAGGUAAAGGCUCACCAAGCCGACGAUCUGUAGCUGGUCUGAGAGGACGACCAGCCACACUGGGACUGAGACACGGCCCAGACUCCUACGGGAGGCAGCAGUGGGGAAUUUUGGAC